rnacentral:rRNA from 1 species
AUUGAACGCUGGCGGCAUGCUUUACACAUGCAAGUCGAACGGCAGCGCGGGCUUCGGCCUGGCGGCGAGUGGCGAACGGGUGAGUAAUUCAUCGGAACGUGCCCAGUAGUGGGGGAUAGCCCGGCGAAAGCCGGAUUAAUACCGCAUACGACCUGAGGGUGAAAGCGGGUGACCGAAAGGCCUCGCGCUAUUGGAGCGGCCGAUGUCGGAUUAGCUAGUUGGUGGGGUAAAGGCUUACCAAGGCGACGAUCCGUAGCUGGUCUGAGAGGACGACCAGCCACACUGGGACUGAGACACGGCCCAGACUCCUACGGGAGGCAGCAGUGGGGAAUUUUGGACAAUGGGGGCAACCCUGAUCCAGCCAUGCCGCGUGCGGGAAGAAGGCCUUCGGGUUGUAAACCGCUUUUGUUCGGGAAGAAAUCCUCUGGGCUAAUACCCCGGGGGGAUGACGGUACCGGAAGAAUAAGCACCGGCUAACUACGUG